rnacentral:lncRNA from 1 species
GGGCAUUUUAGAAUUACAUGAAGUUCAUCUUCUAUAGUAGAGCUACAACACAUGUCAUCUCGUGGACUUCUUUUCUUUCAUACUUUCCAGUUUCGAUUUUUUUAGUGGAGCUUCCCCACAUUUAAAUUUUGCAAAAGCACAUUUGUUUUUAAUUGACAGAAUAUUUUUAACAAAUAACAAUUGGCCAACAGUAUAUUUUUAAGUCCAUUUUCGCUCAGUUGAAC